rnacentral:rRNA from 1 species
CGGGAGGGCGCUUACCACUUUGUGAUUCAUGACUGGGGUGAAGUCGUAACAAGGUAACCGUAGGGGAACCUGCGGUUGGAUCACCUCCUUACCUGAAGAUACCUUCGUGCGCAGUGCUCACACAGAUUGUCUGAU